AUGAACGCUGGCGGCGUGCCUAACACAUGCAAGUCGAACGGAGUUUACAUGAAACCUAGUGAUUGUAAACUUAGUGGCGGACGGGUGAGUAACGCGUGGGUAACCUGCCCUGUACUGGGGGAUAACACUUAGAAAUAGGUGCUAAUACCGCAUAAGCGCACAGUGCCGCAUGGCACAGUGUGAAAAACUCCGGUGGUACAGGAUGGACCCGCGUCUGAUUAGAUAGUUGGUGAGGUAACGGCCCACCAAGUCAACGAUCAGUAGCCGGCCUGAGAGGGUGAACGGCCACAUUGGGACUGAGACACGGCCCAAACUCCUACGGGAGGCAGCAGUGGGGAAUAUUGCACAAUGGGGGAAACCCUGAUGCAGCGACGCCGCGUGAGUGAAGAAGUAUUUCGGUAUGUAAAGCUCUAUCAGCAGGGAAGAAAAUGACGGUACCUGACUAAGAAGCCCCGGCUAACUACGUGCCAGCAGCCGCGGUAAUACGUAGGGGGCAAGCGUUAUCCGGAUUUACUGGGUGUAAAGGGAGCGUAGACGGUGAGACAAGUCUGAAGUGAAAUCCCGGGGCUCAACCCCGGAACUGCUUUGGAAACUGCCUGACUAGAGUGCAGGAGAGGUAAGUGGAAUUCCUAGUGUAGCGGUGAAAUGCGUAGAUAUUAGGAGGAACACCAGUGGCGAAGGCGACUUUCUGGACAGAAACUGACGUUGAGGCACGAAAGUGUGGGGAGCAAACAGGAUUAGAUACCCUGGUAGUCCACGCGGUAAACGAUGAUUACUAGGUGUCGGGGGUUUAUAAACCUUCGGUGCCGCCGCAAACGCAAUAAGUAAUCCACCUGGGGAGUACGUUCGCAAGAAUGAAACUCAAAGGAAUUGACGGGGACCCGCACAAGCGGUGGAGCAUGUGGUUUAAUUCGAAGCAACGCGAAGAACCUUACCUGGUCUUGACAUCCCGAUGAAUAACGGGUAAUGCCGUUAGUACUUCGGUACAUUGGAGACAGGUGGUGCAUGGUUGUCGUCAGCUCGUGUCGUGAGAUGUUGGGUUAAGUCCCGCAACGAGCGCAACCCUUAUCUUUAGUAGCCAGCAGUAAGAUGGGAACUCUAGAGAGACUGCCGGGGAUAACCCGGAGGAAGGUGGGGAUGACGUCAAAUCAUCAUGCCCCUUAUGACCAGGGCUACACACGUGCUACAAUGGCGUAAACAAAGGGAAGCGAAACCGCGAGGUGGAGCCAAUCCCAAAAAUAACGUCCCAGUUCGGAUUGUAGUCUGCAACUCGACUACAUGAAGCUGGAAUCGCUAGUAAUCGCAGAUCAGAAUGCUGCGGUGAAUACGUUCCCGGGUCUUGUACACACCGCCCGUCACACCAUGGGAGUCGGAAAUGCCCGAAGCCGGUGACCUAACCGAAAGGAAGGAGCCGUCGAAGGCAGGUCUGAUAACUGGGGUG
rnacentral:rRNA from 1 species